GGGGAUAUAGUUUAAUAUGGUAAAACCGUAAACUUGCACUUUACUAUUUUGAGUUCGAUGCUCAAUAUCUCCA
rfam:Ophiocordyceps sinensis CO18 unplaced genomic scaffold OCS_Scf_8777, whole genome shotgun sequence.